AUUCCAGCUCCAAUAGCGUAUAUUUAAGUUGUUGCGGUUAAAAAGCUCGUAGUUGGAUUUCGGGCGUGGAGGUUCGGUCCGCCGUUUCGGUGUGCACUGUCUUUCUGCGUCUUUCUGUCGGGGACGCGCUUCUGGCCUUAAUUGGCUGGGACGUGGAUUCGACGAGGUUACUUUGAAAAAAUUAGAGUGUUCAAAGCAAGCUAAAGCUCUGAAUACAUUAGCAUGGAAUAACGCGAGAGGACUCGGUCCUUAUUUUGUAGGUCUUCAAGGAUGGAGUAAUGAUUAAGAGGGACAGUUGGGGGCAUUCGUAUUUCAUUGCUAGAGGUGAAAUUCUUGGAUUUAUGAAAGACGAACUUCUGCGAAAGCAUUUGCCAAGGAUGUUUUCAUCA
rnacentral:rRNA from 1 species